rnacentral:piRNA from 1 species
UCCCCAAAGUGUGUUUGCUGAGAUGC